rnacentral:siRNA from 1 species
UAUAGUGUCUCCGCCCCUGUU